rnacentral:lncRNA from 1 species
CUAUGGUACCAACUCUUUUGCUGUGCCAGCACAGAGGUCUCCAGAGCGACUCUCCUGAAUCAGAUAGCAGGGGCUGUUUGCAGUUUCGUUUCCACGCUUCGCUGACUGGUUAGACAGUGAUCACAGGUUCGGAAGCACGAGCCUCACCACAGCGGAGGAGGCCUCCACUCUGAAGCGGGAUUCCACGCUCCUGCACCCUAAGAUCAGCUAGACUCUCUGCCUUGUUUCAUCUUCUUUCUUUUCCUAAAGAAUCACGGGGAGAACUGACCUCUCUGGGACUCAACCGUGGCUGGAAGGGGACAGGAGAAGCCCUUUCUGGAGGACAGCUGAGCCCUGCAGCUGCCAUCCUGCCUGGCAGGCUAGGGCUGGGCUGCGGGAAGGCCCCCCAGGAGGCUUGGCUGGGCAUGCUCUGUGAAGCCCGAGGUGGCUGGGACUCAUUCUAGUGAUGGACACCAAGUCAGCGGGCUCCUCUCUCCAGUUCCUCGACAUCCCUGGAGGCCCCUCUGCUCCUGCAGCCCUAGCCUUGGAGCUGAUGGUUCCCUCAGUCUUCUCCAGGCCUUGGGGGGGGCCCUCACGCUAGGGUCCCUUCCCAACUCCUCUCUCUGUCUCAUUUCUGCCCAGGGAGGUCCGGCCACUGCACCCCGAGGAAAGGGCUGCUUUCGGCACUCUGCGUGGAGGUCCUGGCUUCUGCCGUCCCUGGAGGCUCCGUUCCCGUUUCGCCAGCUAUUUUGCUGCCUCGGCCAUCUGUUCCCUCCCUGUCAUCUCCUCUCUGCUUUAACCUUAACCACUACUUCACUGCAGAUGGUACCAGGCAGUUCUGCUCUCGACAUCCUUCACGACGCCUGGCCCUCCUUCUCAUCUCCAGCAAGUGAACCGCUCUGUCCUUUUUAAAGCCUCAUCCCAAAGACACGGCCAGAGCUUGGAGUUGGAUUCGCCCCACACAACUCCCCCUCUUUGAUGCCAUCUGCUUUCAACUCCACCACUGGCCAGGGGCAAACACCUACCCCUUCCCCUGCCUUUUCCUCCUGAGACUUCUUCUCAAACUCGGCCAAGAAGCUCUCCUGGCAUGGACAGCGUGUCUGCUCCGGGUCUCUACCUGGUCUCCAUCAACAGAGCCAUGUAACCGCCCAGAGGGCUCCAGGUCCGCAAGCUGAGGCGGAGGCCAGAAACUCUGAAGUUCACUCCUACUGUGGAGGAACGAGGGCUCGUGCUGGGAGUUUGGGUCAUGAACAGUUUCCCUGUAGAAAAUGGACCUGAACACUCUGCAGUAAGGAAUUGUUUCCCAUGCUGGCAUGGUGGGAACCGAACCAAAACACAUUUUCUAUGUUGUCUGAGCUCACAGG